GCCGGUACAAAGGGCUGCUAAACCGCGAGGUGGAGCGAAUCCCAAAAAGCCGGUCUCAGUUCGGAUUGGGGUCUGCAACUCGACCCCAUGAAGUCGGAGUCGCUAGUAAUCGCAGAUCAGCAACGCUGCGGUGAAUACGUUCCCGGGCCUUGUACACACCGCCCGUCACACCAUGGAAGCUGGUCACACCCAAAGUCGUUAUUCUAACCGUUUGGAGGAAGGCGCCUAAGGUAGGAUUGGUGACUGGGGUGAAGUCGUAACAAGGUAGCCGUACCGGAAGGUGCGGCUGGAUCACCU
rnacentral:rRNA from 14 species